GAUGAACGCUGGCGGCGUGCCUAAUACAUGCAAGUCGAGCGAACGGACGAGAAGCUUGCUUCUCUGAUGUUAGCGGCGGACGGGUGAGUAACACGUGGAUAACCUACCUAUAAGACUGGGAUAACUUCGGGAAACCGUAGCUAAUACCGGAUAAUAUUUUGAACCGCAUGGUUCAAAAGUGAAAGACGGUCUUGCUGUCACUUAUAGAUGGAUCCGCGCUGCAUUAGCUAGUUGGUAAGGUAACGGCUUACCAAGGCAACGAUGCAUAGCCGACCUGGGAGAGGGAUAGCCAACACGAGAACGGAAACGCGGUCAAGACUCCUGAGGGAGGCAGCAGAAGGGAAUGGUCCGAAAUGGGCGAAAGCAUGACGGAGAAACGCGGCGUGAGUGAUAAAGGUCUUCGGAUCGUAAAACUCUGUUAUUGGGGAAGAACAGAUGUGUAAGUAAAUGUGCAAAGCGUGACGGUACCUAAUAAGAAAGCAACGGCUAACUACGUG
rnacentral:rRNA from 1 species